AAGAAUAUCAAACUCCGAAUGCCGCGUAAUCGAUUAUCGGGAGUCAGACUGCACGAGAUAAGUUGGGCGGUCAAAAGGGAAAGAGCCCAGACCUUCAGUUAAGGUCCCCAAGUGCGCGUUAAGUGGAAAAGGAUGUGGGAUUUCGAAGACAACCAGGAUGUUGGCUCAGAAGCAGCCAUCCAUUCAAAGAGUGCGUAAUAGCUCACUGGUCGAGAGGUCCUGCGCCGAAAAUGUCCGGGGCUGAAACGCGCCACCGAAACUAAGGAACCGAAAGGUUGGUAGAGGAGCAUUGCAUGCGGGAAGAAGCAGUACCGUAAGGAGCUGUGGACUGCAUGGAAGAGAGAAUGCCGGAAUGAGUAGCGAGAUAGAGGUGGGAAUCCUCUAGGCCGAAUAUCCAAGGUUUCCAGAGUAAAGCUGAUCUGCUCUGGGUAAGUCGGGGCCUAAGGCGAGGACGAGAGUCGUAGCCGAUGGACAACAGGUGGAGAUUCCUGUACUGCGGUAUGACAGAACUGUGGGGACACGUAAGGAAAGCGGAAGCCGGGAAUGGAAAGCCCGGUGCAAGCGGGGUACCAGUCACUUUGGCAAAUCCGGGUGGCAAUGGGAAGCCGUGAUGCGGAGUGAAAUAAAGUAACGAAGUCCGUGAGCCAUGCGUCAAGAAAAGCCGCUAUCGUUCAUACCGUACCCGUACCGUAAACCGACACAGGUGGAUGAGGAGAGAAUCCUAAGGCCGGCGGAAGAAGCAUUGUCAAGGAACUCGGCAAAAUGGCCCCGUAACUUAGGGAUAAGGGGUGCCUGGGAAACCAGGCCGCAGAGAAUAGGCUCAAGCAACUGUUUAGCAAAAACACAGGUCUAUGCGAAACCGAAAGGUGAGGUAUAUGGGCUGACGCCUGCCCGGUGCUGGAAGGUUAAGAGGAGAGGUUAGCGCAAGCGAAGCUUUGAAUUUAAGCCCCAGUAAACGGCGGCCGUAACUAUAACGGUCCUAAGGUAGCGAAAUUCCUUGUCGGGUAAGUUCCGACCCGCACGAAAGGCGUAAUGAUUUGAGCGCUGUCUCGACAAUGCAUCCGGUGAAAUUGAAGUACCAGUGAAGAUGCUGGUUACCUGCGCCAGGACGGAAAGACCCCAUGGAGCUUUACUCCAUUCUGGUACUGGGACGCGGUAUUGCAUGAACAGGAUAGGUGGGAGGCUGUGAAUCAGUAACGCCAGUUGCUGAGGAGCCGCUGUUGGGAUACCACCCUUGC
rnacentral:rRNA from 1 species